rnacentral:lncRNA from 1 species
AUAUACUUUUAAAUUUUAGUUUAUUUUUUUAGGCACCAUUUGGAUCGGGGAUAAAAGAAGGGAUAAUCCCUUAUCCCCUUUAUAUUCAAACGCAAAUUUUUUAUCCGAGAAUAGUAAUUCUUAGGUACCUGAAAUAAGCUGGUAUAAUUAUUCCCACCAACACCUUCAUUUCUAUAUAUAACUACUCACCAUUUUUCUUAUUUCAUAUUAUCUAUGCAAACGCGUUCUUAUCUCCAUACUUGAACCUAUUUCUAUAAUAGCUAGUUCUUAUUUAUACUUUAUACCUGAACCAAAAGGAAGUCUUAUUA